UGUAAAACCGGCCAUUUUGGUGUGUCAGCCUUUUCCUCACAUAGACUGGAGGGUCAGAACGUGGCCUGGUGACUGUGAAGCUGGACAUUUUCGUCUUAUUUGAAUUAAACGAUAUAGCUAGAUAGUUCAUUUCCUCAGCAGUCAUAUUUUAUUUAGUUAGACAGUAAACAAAUUCCCUCGAUGUGGCUAGCUAACGUUAGCAGCUUGCUAGCAAAGUAGGCUAAUUGUAGAGUAUGCAGGAAGCUCAUGUUGGCUAAGUAGUUAGCUAUAGCUACUUAAACGUUUGUAUGAAACUUUCAAUUUAUAAUUUCGACUUGAGGUAAAUAUUUCGUUUUAGCCUAUACCCAAGAGGGUGAACCUUUCUAUGGACACUGCUUAGCUAGCAAGUUACCUGGGGCAUUGCGGUGUCUGGCACGUUGUCUGAAACGUCUCCUAUGAUGUUUUGCACUGGGCUCUGAAAUUCUGUGGCGAAAAAGUGCUCUCUGGCUCUGACAGGCCCGAGUCUGAGGAUGCUCGCGUCUAAUGUAGUUAGUCUUGUCUGCUUGAUUGUAAGUUGCAGAUAUUGUCCUUAUGGGAGUCUUUUUCUAUUGUCCAAAGGUUACGAGUCUGUCAGAACCCACAAGGUGACAGGGCUAAGUCUAUAACAAACUACAAGUUCUUGGACCUCCACAGAAGAUGUGUGGUGACUGCAGUCUGUUAUUAACAUGGGGUGAGAUCUUCAAUGGAUAAUUUAGGGGCCUGUUUUGCACAAGAGGCACUGUUUUACCUGUAUUUCCAGCAUUAUCCAGCUGGUGUCACUUCAGUCCCUUUUUUGUUUCAAUCAAGCAGCUUCCCCAACAUGACCAAGAUUGCGAAACAAUAUCCCUUUUGCUAAUAAUUCUGUAGAUGUGGGAAGAAUUGUUAAUACCAGGGCUGACUCAGCAAUGGAAAUGUGCUGACCUAAAUGAGAUUAUUUUUUAUUUAUGUUCCUGAUUGUUAUGUAAGGCUGAAACAUUAAAAUAUUUUAAUCAGA